AAAAAAAAAAACACCUUUGUCCCGCAGAUCACGGAGGGAUCCUAGAAAACCGCCUCACACCCAGGCCAGGGCCGGCCGGGAGAGGGGGAUUUUGGCCGGAGGACUCACUCUUGGGACUGAUUUAGGUUUAAGCAGCAGAUUCCCCAGGCUGAACCCCUCGGCCGGGCUGAAUUUAGCAGCAGAGAUAACCGGGAGAUAAGGGCUGAUACCCGGCAGGACAGCGGGAGCCGAGGGAAGGGGGAGAAGCCAGAGGCAGAGCCCCGUGGCGCGUUGGGAGCGGCUGCGGAUCCAGAUGUGCCGCCAUCCCAAGGGACGCGCAUCUCCCUGCAAAACCCACUGGAAUUUUUUUUUAGGGGAAACUUCGUUGAUUUUUUACGGAAUCUCGUCCCUUUAUUUAAAAAAAAUAAUAACAAUAAUGAUAAGAGGGAGAAAAUUUUCAAUUAAAAGCUCUUAAAGCCUCCGGAGCAGCCCUGCCGGGAGCAGAGAGGUUUCAGGGACCUGCCUUGGCUUCGCCCCAAAAGCGCUGAGCUCAGCCCCGGCAGGAUGGAUAUAUGGGGAGGGGACGGACCCGUUCCUUUUUUAACCUUUUUUUUGACAAGAAAACGAAAAAAAUAUAUAUAAAAAAAUAAAAGCAGAGGUCGGGAUGCGGCUGGGUCCCCGCGGCUGCGGCGCUCGGUGGCUGCAGCCGGGACCGGCGUCAGGAUUUUGGGGUCGGAGCUGAGAAGAUGGGUUUGGGGAGGGAUUUAAGGUUUUAAAAAUCUGUGCCGAUAAUUGUUUUUUUUUUUUUUCUUUUUUUUUUCCUUAAAUUACGCACACGAAAUGGUUGGGGGAGACUCGAGGGAGGAAGAAAAGUCAUUUUGGCACGGGGGGAGGGAGAAGUGGGUACACGCGGCGCCAAGCCCGCAGGGCGCUGGGGUUUGGGAUUUUUUAAUUCCGGCUGCGAGCCGGAGAGGGGACCGGGAGGACCGGGAUGGGG
rnacentral:lncRNA from 1 species